rnacentral:rRNA from 1 species
UGCAGUAGAACGCUGAAGAGAGGAGCUUGCUCUUUCUUGGAUGAGUUGCGAACGGGUGAGUAACGCGUAGGUAACCUGCCUUGUAGCGGGGGAUAACUAUUGGAAACGAUAGCUAAUACCGCAUAACAAUGGGUGACUCAUGUCAUUUAUUUGAAAGGGGCAAAUGCUCCACUACAAGAUGGACCUGCGUUGUAUUAGCUAGUAGGUGAGGUAACGGCUCACCUAGGCGACGAUACAUAGCCGACCUGAGAGGGUGAUCGGCCACACUGGGACUGAGACACGGCCCAGACUCCUACGGGAGGCAGCAGUAGGGAAUCUUCGGCAAUGGGGGCAACCCUGACCGAGCAACGCCGCGUGAGUGAAGAAGGUUUUCGGAUCGUAAAGCUCUGUUGUAAGUCAAGAACGAGUGUGAGAGUGGAAAGUUCACACUGUGACGGUAGCUUACCAGAAAGGGACGGCUAACUACGUGCCAGCAGCCGCGGUAAUACGUAGGUCCCGAGCGUUGUCCGGAUUUAUUGGGCGUAAAGCGAGCGCAGGCGGUUUGAUAAGUCUGAAGUUAAAGGCUGUGGCUCAACCAUAGUUCGCUUUGGAAACUGUCAAACUUGAGUGCAGAAGGGGAGAGUGGAAUUCCAUGUGUAGCGGUGAAAUGCGUAGAUAUAUGGAGGAACACCGGUGGCGAAAGCGGCUCUCUGGUCUGUAACUGACGCUGAGGCUCGAAAGCGUGGGGAGCGAACAGGAUUAGAUACCCUGGUAGUCCACGCCGUAAACGAUGAGUGCUAGGUGUUGGAUCCUUUCCGGGAUUCAGUGCCGCAGCUAACGCAUUAAGCACUCCGCCUGGGGAGUACGACCGCAAGGUUGAAACUCAAAGGAAUUGACGGGGGCCCGCACAAGCGGUGGAGCAUGUGGUUUAAUUCGAAGCAACGCGAAGAACCUUACCAGGUCUUGACAUCCCGAUGCUAUUUCUAGAGAUAGAAAGUUACUUCGGUACAUCGGUGACA